rnacentral:rRNA from 1 species
CACGUAGGGUGCAAGCGUUGUCCGGAAUUAUUGGGCGUAAAGGGCUCGUAGGCGGUCCGUCGCGUCGGGAGUGAAAACUCGGGGCUCAACCCCGAGCCUGCUUUCGAUACGGGCGGACUAGAGGUAGGUAGGGGAGAACGGAAUUCCUGGUGUAGCGGUGGAAUGCGCAGAUAUCAGGAGGAACACCGGUGGCGAAGGCGGCUGCCUGGCCCAAUACUGACACUCAGGUGCGACAGCGUGGGGAGCAAACAGG